GACGAACGCUGGCGGCGUGCUUAACACAUGCAAGUCGAACGGAAAGGCCUCUUUCGGGGGGUACUCGAGUGGCGAACGGGUGAGUAACACGUGAGUAACCUGCCCUUGACUUUGGGAUAACUUCAGGAAACUGGGGCUAAUACCGGAUAGGAGCUCCUGCUGCAUGGUGGGGGCUGGAAAGUUUCGGCGGUUGGGGAUGGACUCGCGGCUUAUCAGCUUGUUGGUGGGGUAGUGGCUUACCAAGGCUUUGCCGGGUAGCCGGCCUGAGAGGGUGACCGGCCACAUUGGGACUGAGAGACGGCCCAGACUCCUACGGGAGGCAGCAGUGGGGAAUAUUGCACAAGGGGUGGAAGCCUGAUGCAGCAACGCCGUGUGCGGGAUGACGGCCUUCGGGUUGUAAACCGCUUUCGCUCAUGACGAAGCUUUGUGUGACGGUAGUGGGUAAAGAAGCACCGGCUAACUACGUG
rnacentral:rRNA from 1 species